rnacentral:rRNA from 1 species
CCUACGGGAGGCAGCAGUGAGGAAUAUUGGUCAAUGGACGAGAGUCUGAACCAGCCAAGUAGCGUGAAGGAUGACUGCCCUAUGGGUUGUAAACUUCUUUUAUAUGGGAAUAAAAUGUUCCACGUGUGGGAUUUUGUAUGUACCAUAUGAAUAAGGAACGGCUAACUCCGUGCCAGCAGCCGCGGUAAUACGGAGGAGCCGAGCGUUAUCCGGAUUUAGUGGGUUUAAAGGGAGCGUAGGUGGAUUGUUAAGUCAGUUGUGAAAGUUUGCGGCUCAACCGUAAAAUUGCAGUUGAAACUGGCAGUCUUGAGUACAGUAGAGGUGGGCGGAAUUCGUGGUGUAGCGGUGAAAUGCUUAGAUAUCACGAAGAACUCCGAUUGCGAAGGCAGCUCACUGGACUGCAACUGACACUGAGGCUCGAAAGUGUGGGUAUCAAACAGGAUUAGAUACCCCGGUAGUC